rnacentral:lncRNA from 10 species
CAGGGUUUCACCAUGUUGCCUAAGCUAGCCCCGAACUCCUGGACUCAACCAAUCCACCUGCUUCAGUUGGUCAAAGUUCUGGGAUUACAGACAUGAGUCACCAUGCCCAGCCAAGUUAAAAUUUAUUGAGACUUGUUUUACAGCCAAGAAUAUGGACUACUUUGGUUAAUAUUUUAUAUGCACUUGAAGAUAAUGUGUUCUGUUGUUGUUAAGUAGGGUGUUCUCUAAAUGUCAAUUAGGCUAAGUUGGUUGAUAGUAUGGUUCAAGUAAUAGCUAUAUUACUAAUUUUCUGUUUACUUUUUCUAUCAAUUAUUGAGAUGGGGUGCUGAAAUCUGACUAUUAUGGAUUUCUCUAUUUGUCCAUUUGUCCUUUUAGUCCUGUCAGUUUUUGCUUAAUGUGUUUUGAAACUCUGUGAUUAUGGGUCCAUAAAUGCUUAGAAAUUUUGCGUCCUCUUAAUGAAUUUACUCCUUUAUCAUUAUGAAAUUACUCUAUUUGUUCCUGGUAACAUUCUUUGCUGAAAUUUACUUUGUCUGAUGUUAAUAUAGCCAUCCUAGUUUUCUUUGAUUAGUAUUAACAUGGUGUAUCUUUUCCUAAUCUGUUACUUUUCACCCUGUUGUGUCUUCAUAUUUAAAUAUUUUUUCAUUUUGAGGGGGUUAUUUUUCAGUUUUUUUUUUCCCUUUUUGUAGUGGCAUAUAGUUAGGUCUUAUUUUUUUCCUUAUUUGAUAAUCACUCCCUUUUAACUAGUGUGUUAAAUGUCAUAUAUUUAAAAGCAUUUGGCAUUUAAUUUGUUUAUUGAUAUCAUUGAGUUUAACUUGCUGCUUAUUUUGUAUUAGUUCCAUCUGUUUAUAGAUCCUUUUGCCUGGUUUUGGAUUAAAUGAGUAUUUUUAAUGAUCCCAUUUAACCGCUUUUGUUUACUUAUUAGAUAUCACUAUGUAUGUAUAUGUGUGCGAAUGUGUGUGUGUGUGUGUUUUAGUGGUACUCUAAAGAUGUUGCUCCACUGUCUUGUGGCUUCAUUAUUUCUAACAGUCUGCUUAUAAUCCUUAUCAUGUUUCCUGUAUAUAUGACAUGUGCUCUUUGCUCUGGUUGCUUCCAAUGUUUUGUAUUUAUCACUGUUAUUUAUUUAUUUAUUUAUAUUAUUUAAAAGUUUUUUGAGACAAAGUCUCGCUUUAUUACCCAGACUGGAGUGCAGUGACAGGAUCAUGGCUCACUGCAGCAUUGAUCCUCUCACUUCAGCCUCCUGAGUAGCUGGGAUUAUAGUCAUGUGCCACUAUUCCUGACCAAUUUCAAAGCAGAAGAGAGAGGCAGAAGCAGUAUAAUCAAAGAUAUGACAGUAUCGCACUAUGUUACCCAGGCUGCUCUCAAACUCCUGGGCUUAAGCAAACCAUCCUCUUUGGCCUCUCAAAGUGCUAGGAUUACAGGUGUGAGCCACUGCACCUGGCCUAUCACUGGUUUUGAGCAAGUAAGUUUAUGAUGUUUCUUAGUCUUAUUUUCUUCAGGAUUUUUGUGCUUGUCCUGUGUUGAGCUUCUUGGAUCUGUGAGUUUAUGGUUUUAACCAACUUUGGAAGUUUCUGGCUAUUCUUUCUUCAAAUACUUUUUCUUCCCAUUUUUCUAUCUCCUCUGUUUCAUGAUUCCAGUUAUACGUGUCUGCUUUUUGCGGGAGGAGGGUUCUUUUUGCUCUCCUUGUGUCAAUUUAAAUAGCUUCAGUUAAAUCUUGAAUUUAACAAAUUAUUUCUUCUGCAGUAUCAAAUCUGUCCUUAAUCCCAUCCAGUGUAUUUUUUAUCUUAGAAGUAUUUUUAACCCCUAGAAGUUCAAUUUGGGCAUUUUAAAUAUCUCUUGUGUUGCUUCUUAAUAUGCUCAAUCUUUCAUCUACAUUUUUGAAUACAUAAAACAUAGUGAGAAUAAUUGUUUUUGAUGCCCUUGUCUACUAAUUCUACAACCCAUGUCAUUUCUGGGUCUGUUUCUAUUGACUGCUCUUUCUCUUAGUGAUAUGUUAUAUUUUCCUACUUCUUUGCAUGCCUGGUAACUGUUUGGUCGAUGACAGGCACUGUAAAUUUUACCUUGUUGGGUGCUAGAUAUUUUUGUAUUUUGUUAUAUUUUUGUGCUUUCUUUUGGGAUACAGGCAAGUUACUUGAAAACAGUUUAAUUAUUUUGGUUAUUUCUUUUAAGCUUGUGAGGUGGGACCAGACCAUCAUUUAGUCUAGGACAAAUUUCUCUCCAC